rnacentral:rRNA from 1 species
UGGGGAAUAUUGGACAAUGGGCGAAAGCCUGAUCCAGCCAUGCCGCGUGUGUGAAGAAGGUCUUCGGAUUGUAAAGCACUUUAAGUUGGGAGGAAGGGCAGUAAGCGAAUACCUUGCUGUUUUGACGUUACCGACAGAAUAAGCACCGGCUAACUCGGUGCCAGCAGCCGCGGUAAUACAGAGGGUGCAAGCGUUAAUCGGAAUUACUGGGCGUAAAGCGCGCGUAGGUGGUUCGUUAAGUUGAAUGUGAAAGCCCCGGGCUCAACCUGGGAACUGCAUCCAAAACUGGCGGGCUAGAGUAGGGCAGAGGGUGGUGGAAUUUCCUGUGUAGCGGUGAAAUGCGUAGAUAUAGGAAGGAACACCAGUGGCGAAGGCGACCACCUGGGCUCAUACUGACACUGAGGUGCGAAAGCGUGGGGAGCAAAAAGG